rnacentral:tRNA from 1 species
GACCAGUUAGCUCAGUCAGUUAGAGCUCGGUGCUGAUAACACCAAGGUCGCGGGUUCGAUCCCCGUUUGGUCC